GAUGAGGUUGAUUCUGGAGGUCCACCUAGUGGGGUUUCUUACACACCUUCAAUUCUUGAGAAGCAAUUAACCAGCUCACCACCUCCUCAGACCAAGUCCCCGGGUCCAAGAUACCAAGAGGCACCACUAGGUCAACAGAAAGUUCCACCUCCAGCAUCACAACAUGGAAUCCCAUCAAAUUCACAAGCACCUACGACAACAGUAGCAACCAUCCCAGUGUCAUCAUCUUCCAUCAUCCAGCAUGCUCCACGUUAUCCUGCCCCAAAUCCUCCAGUAUCAUACCACCUAUAUACUCAUGUACCUCCACAACACCUGCAGCAACACCCUGCCCAGCAGCAACACCAACACCAUCCUCAUCCGUCACAGCACCAGCAGCUUUUGCCACAACAUAUCCAACAGCAGCAUCCUCAUCUGCAAGUGCUGGCUCACCAUCAGCAAGGUGAGAAACAACCAUGUUUCCUGGGGGACUCUACGGCCAGCCCCGUGCCUCCUGCCCCUCCGCCAGCCCCACCGCAACCAUUGUUGUCACCUCCUACAUCAUCUGCAGUUGCCUCGCACGUGGUAGGACCAAGUCAGGCCAUGGACCUUCUGCAGCUAGGUGAAUCUCAAAGAAACAAGUACACCACACUUACCAACGUUACAAGUCCAAGGGCAAGGGGUAGUAGCCCUGGAAGUCACCAUGGUAGCAUGAGCCCUAGACUUGUUCAUCAAAUUGUCAGCCAUAAUCAGUGGGUCGCUGGCGAGAGACCGGUGUCUCCAAAGCAGUCACCUGGUAAUCCGAAGCAAUCUUGUGAAAGCGACUCCAAUGAUUCAGCAAAUGAUGGCAGUGGCAAGGAUAAGAGGGCUGGAAUCAGAGAGGUGCAUAAUAAACUGGAGAAAAACAGGCGGGCACAUCUAAAAGAGUGCUUUGAAAACUUGAGAAAGGCAGUACCCAACAUGGAAGAUAAGAAGGCAAAGACAUCAAACCUUAGCAUUCUACGCGGUGCCCUCAGAUUUAUUCAGGUCUUGACACGCAAAGAACGAGAGCUUGAGCAUGAACUGGACCGACUGGUACGGCAGAAGAUUGAAGCUCAACAGAGAUUGGACCUUCUCAAGAUCAAGAACGGCCUAACCAUCGGCAAACCUCUGAAACUACCAACAGCCAGGGAGGUGGAAGAGAUGGAAGAGGAUGACGAUGAGGAGGAGAGACUGGUUGUCGUUGAGGAUAAGGAUGUGGAAGUGACAGUGGAUGAUGAGAAGAAGAAUGAAGUUGACGAUGACCAAGCGUCAACAUCUACUGCAUCAGAAGCUGAAGAAGAGGAGAGGAAAUCUCGUGCCCAGUCCCGAUCUCAGUCUCCUCUCCACCAACCUGUGUCAUCUUCUCAUCUCCCUUUCCCUCUUCCUGGAGUCUCCAGCUCAUACCAGCAAGCCUUUGCCAGUUUCCAAGGAACCAUGAAAGAAAAACUUCCUUACCCCAAUCCCACUUCCCGCCCGAUUGGACUCAGUCGCUCUGCCAAUGAAGCCAUGUUGAGGUUAACUACCAUGAGAGAUGUGCAGUCCCCUCCAGGCUCCGAUCCCUCGAGGCCAAAGCAAAAACAUCCAGAGGCCAUGCUGUCCAGACAUGGCUCUGCCCCAUCCUUAGGAACCAGUACCAUUCCACCACAAAGGACCACAUACAUGCAAAUGUCACAGGCUAAAUCUACAGUGCUCCAUAGUGUUGCUAGUCAGAUAUCGCCUGCCACAAUUGGGGCUAGUCCUUCUACGGGAGCACUGGCCGGAAGUGUGACCAGGCAGACAGUGAGCCAACUCUUGGGGAAGCAACCGGUUGUCAGGCAACCCGUUAGACGACAGCUCUCGUCUCAGCUUCCUGUUAUUCAGUCUCCGCUACAGACUUCUCAUCAGCUCCUGCCUCGGAUCAUGAGCACCCCGUCUCUCAGGUUAGGAUUCAACCCGUCCACGCAAGGUGUGAUGGGACCUAAUAAACCAGUUGUUACAGUAGGAAUUAACUCUCUGCUUGCACAACCUUCAGUCAUUCAAACUACCAGCACCCAUAAGACUAUCAUAUCAAGCGGACCAGGGACAACAGUUCCAAACCCAAGCACAGUGACAUUCACUGCCAAGUCAUCAGUUAUAACUGCCUCUCCGCUAACAACUUCUGCUGUUACCAGUCCACUUACUUCAAGUGUUCUAAGUACAACAAUUGCAGGAGCUCCAAACACUUCAAGUCUAAUGACUGCUUCAGUUAUCACUCAGACUCUCCCAGUCAUGUCUCAUACUGGUCACAGUCAGUUAAUCCCACCUAUUGCCCUACAGUCUCCAGCUAAUCCUGGUGCAUCGUUUCUCUUCACCCAUCCAUCCAACUACAUUGGCCUGCCUCACUCCAUGUUGCCACAGCCUUUCCUGGGAUCAUUUGCAGCUACAAGACCAUCUCCCAUACAACUCGCCACCUCGACACAGGUUAGCCCUUCCUUGGCAACCACACAACCUCUUGUCCAUCCGUCCACACAGUCCCUUGAUUCUGCCAAUUUACUAGCUCUUGCACAAGCACUCCCCAAACAAAUGCCCCCUGCACAAUACCCGAGUGCACUGAGCAUUGGUAACCUAGCGUCUUCGGGAGCACUUCUCUCAACGAACCUACCGGGUGUCAAACAUGGACCAUUCACUACUGUGGCAUCAACUGCAGUAACUGCAGCCCAAAACACAGUGUCCGCAUCCCAUGCAAGUAAAAGAUCCAAGUCCUCUGGGGGCAAGGGAUCGCGUAGCAAACAUGGCAAAAAUCUUAAUGGUAAGACUGAAAUCCAAAUUACCACGUCAAAGAUAGCCGAGACAAUGGCCACUCUAACCAGCAAUACCCAGGUAAUUGCUAAAAAUGGACAUUCUGCCUCAACAGUUGCUAACAGGACUAGCCAGCAGUCUGUUGUGGUCAAGUUAUAAUGCCUACCUGUGGGAAUGAGUCUCGGAUGUAGACUGCCUUAUUAUUAUUAUUGUUAUUAUUGAGACUUCAGUGCAAGAUACAAUUGAGAUGGUAAGCUGGUUGCCUUGGGUGAUAUAUACAUAUAUAUUGGCAUCGUUGCUACAGGCAUGUCGCACAUCCAAGUGACUCCAUUUGUUUGUGUGAGCUUUGAUUGUGAAAGUGAUGUUAGUUUUGAAAGGCAAUAGCAUGCCAUAAACAGUCCAAAGCCAUAUCAUAAUUAUUCCAACAUAUCAUGUAUCUUGAUAAUUUUUUUUCUUCUAAAACCACCAACAGUCAACGAUGUUUUUAUUAAGCCUGAUUUUUAUUCUGCGUGAUUGGAUCAGACAAUUAUUAACUUAGAUAUUGCCUGAUAAUGCAUACAGUAAUGUAAUGAUGUUCUAUCACUGUUUAUAUUUUCACCCCAUUCAAUUGCAAUAUAUUUUUUUACAGGAGUGUACUGGUUUAUGUUUGAUAUAUUUAUACUUUAUUGUUGUUUUGACCCUGUCAGGAAGAUACCUGUUGCUUUGAAAGCCAAUUAGAGAACAUAUGGAAAAAAAAACUUAAUUUCAUCUUGUGCCCCUACACUGUAGAUAAUAAAGUAAAGGGGCUAAGGGCAAAGUCCCCUCCCCCCCUCCUUUCAUUCAACAUCCCUUUUGUUACCCCCCAAAAAACGCCACCAACCUAUAAACUUCAAACUUCGUAUUUGGUCCAAAACAAAGUUCAGUUUGGAAUCAGCAGUAGUACAAUGUAUAAAAAGUACACCCCUUCACCUGCACAAUUAUUUGGUUCUUCUCUGAAGUAGCAUCAUUCCUGAUAUUCCAAAUUUAAAGCAGGCCAUUUAUAACCUAAUUGUUUUUCCUUUUCUAGUUACAAACAUGAUUUGGAUAUACACACAGUGACCACCUACAUUAGGCUUCAUAUUGUAUUUCAGAAAAAAACAACUUUCCUUUAGGUGUGGGUGUGUCGUGGUCUAGUGGUUCUGACUCUCGCCUUUCAACAGGGUCGUUGGUUCGAAUCCUAGCCACGGCGUGUUUUCCUUCAGCAAGAAAUUUGUCCACACUGUGCUGCACUCGACCCAGGUGAGGUGAAUGGGUACCCGGUAGGAUUAAUUCCUUGCAUGCACUGAGCGCCGGUGAUGGUAUCCGGGGUCAUAAUAGCAAGUGCUUUGUAUCCUCGGGCAAAAAGCGCUAUAUAAAUCCAGCUAUUUUUUUUUUUUUUUUUUUUCACUGAAGGCAAUGUCUUGAAAUGUGACUUUUAUUUUGUAUCUUUGUGUUUGAAUGCUUCCUGUGUCCAAUAUGGAUCGUGAAUGAUGUGAUGGGGUGCCAAAUAUCUUCAGUCUUACUUAAAGGACAAGUCCACCCCAACAAAAAAUUUGAUUUGAAUAAAAAGAGAAAAAUACAACAAGCAUAACACAAAAAAUUUCAUCAAAAUCCGUAAAAUGUUAAAUAAGAAAGUUAUGGCAUUUUAAAGUUUUGCUUAAAUUCACAAAACAUUUAUAUGCACAUCCUGGUCGGUAUGCAAAUGAGGAGACUGAUGACGUCAUGCACUCACUAUUUGUUUUGUAUUUCAUUGUGAGAAAUAUGAAAUAUUCUAAUUUUCUCAUUGUCAGGUGAAACUACAAUUAAUUCCUCGAUGAACAUGUGGAAUUAGCAUUUUUUAAUACUAUAUGGUUCAGUCAAGUUGGUCCUUAUUGUCAAAUCUGUAAAAAAAUGAAAUAUUGUUUAAUCGAAACAAUAAAAAACAAAAGAAAAAGUGAGUGAGGGACAUUAUUGACUGUCUCAUUUGCAUGUCACUGAGUUGUGCAUAAUUUUUUAUAUCACUGUUUUGUGAAAAUACGUGAAACUUUAAAAUAUAAUCUUAUUUCACAUCCAAUUUUGAUGAAAUUUUCAGUUGUAUGUUAGUUUGAUUUUUCUCUAUUUCAAAUAAAAAAAAAUUCUGGGGUGGACUUGACCUUUAAUAAUUGCCUUUUUGGUUCUCUUGUAAUUACUGAUGAUGCAAAUGUAGAUAUGUAAAGGAUACUUUCAUACAAGAGAGAGAUAUAUAAAUAUAUAUUUAAACAUUUCUUUGUACAUAAUGGAUAUUAUAUUUGUAAAUAGCAUGUAAAUAAUGCAGAGGAGUGAGGGUCCAUCCGGUCGUAGGAAUGGAAUACUAAUUUGUGUGUGAGAGAUAAUUUGCCAGAAUUGAACGCCUUGUAAUCAUAAUUGCACUUUGUAAUUGGAAUUAAACUUUUAAGAUUGUGGUGUUGACUAGGUUCUUGCUAUUGACCUUCAUUAUAUCAUGCUCGUGAAGUUCUAGCAAUUGAUUUUUUUGUUUUGUUUAUCAUCAUCAUGGUUUAAAAUGUAAUUUACCGUAAGAACUUCUCAGGAGUCAAGAAGAGUAACAUGCACAUGCUAAUUGUACGUCGAUUGAAGUUCGUCAAAAGUGAUUAGUUUUCACUGAAUGACUGAGAUCUGGAUAGUUCCCUUGCACUAACUCAGUCCUAUUUUCCCCAGUGAGUUGGUUGUAGCCCACUUAAAUGUAAUCAACAGGAAUAAUGGUCAUUAUUGUUGGAACAUCUGUCUCUUGGCAUGGCAAAUGACCUAAGGGAAGUCCACCCUGGCAUCAUCUUAAAUUAAAUAUAUUACAAAGAUGAUAAAGUCAUAUUAAAGAAGGUUUGAUGGAAAUCCAUCAAAUGAUAGCAUACUUCUGAACUACUACAAAACUCUGAUUUUGCGAUGUUACAGCAAGCAGUCGCCCCAUUUACAUGCAAUAUAAAUUCCAUGAAUUGACAUUACUCCAUGGUUUAUGAUGACAAAAGAUAUUAUUUUUAUCAUGGAACUGUGUAUGGAAUAACGUGUCUGCUAAUAGUGCAUUGGUGGGAAUGUGGGCGGGGGGGGGGGGGGGGGGGUUGCAUGCAUAUUACAUCACAAAAUUUAAAUGUAAAAAAUCAGUGUCUCUGCUAAUCUAUGAUAGAUUUUGUGCUAGCCUUCAUUAUUACGAUUCUGACCUUGUUCUGCUUGUGUUAUAACUUUUAUGUUAGGAUGGACUUCCGUAUGAAUUACAAUAAGUGGAAUCGUCUAAUAUAACAAAUUCUAACAAUAGUAUAAACAGUACUCCAAUAAUUUGCUGCCCUCUAAUUAAACCCCCUAACAUUUGUGCAUUCCAACAUCUAAAAGAAAUCUUAAAUGUAUUAAGAUGCAUCCUUUUUGUUUAAUUUAUCCCUCUCAUAUCAAUAUUGAUAUCAAAAUAUCAAAAAAAUAUGUACUUUUUCUCUUUUUUUUUUGGGGGGGGGGGGGUAUUGAUGGAAAAUCACUCAACUUUGAAAUACCUGAAAAAAAUGUUUGGCCUAUUCAGUAAUAAGCUCAUCAUCUCAUCCAAUAUGAUGGCCAUAAUAUAUGUUGGUCUUUUGUCAAGGGUGUGGCUAUUUCCAAAAAUACUACAAGGGGAAGAUCGGACACUUCGGCGAUUUUUUGAAACGCUCGAUAAAUGCUCAUGGGGAAGGAUGCCCACUAGCGUUGAGUAAGUAAACCAUCACACAAAUGAGAGAGGGGAUUUAGGAGAGGGCACAAGGGCGGCGCAUGGGAAUAAUUCCAAUUUUUAUUACCCAGAAAGCUCUGAAAUAUAUUCAUCUCAAAUUU